UGCGUAGGCGGCGCAGCAAGUCGGGUGUGAAAUCCCCCAGCUCAACUGGGGAAUUGCGCCCGAAACUGCUGUGCUAGAGGAAUAUAGAGGUGAGCGGAACUUAGGGUGGAGCGGUGAAAUGCGUUGAUAUCCUAAGGAACACCGGUGGCGAAAGCGGCUCACUGGGUAUUCUCUGACGCUGAGGCAAAGCUAGGGGAGCGAACG
rnacentral:rRNA from 1 species